UUGAUCUUGGGAUUGGGAUAUGAGAGGAAAGUGAAAGAAAUGAACCAAAAGAGUAAGAAAAAGAAAGAAAACCACUAGGGAUAAAAAAAAAAAAAAAAAACCCCAAGGGAAAAAAAAAAAAAAAAAAAGCUCUAAAGUUUAUAAGUAGAAUCCCCUUUAGAAUCAAAAGAAAAGAAACAUGAAAAGAGUGGGGAAAAGAAAAGAAAAAGAAGAGCUUAGUGAAUAAGAAAAGAAAAAAUUCCUAGUUGGUUAAGAUAAGUGAAAGAAAAGUGUUCAUUGUGUGAGAGAUGAGAGUGUGGUCUUUGGGGUGUUUGAGAUGAAAAAGGGUUGAGAUUACCCAAGAAAAGGGAUAGAGUUUAAAGAUCUUUAGGAAAGAGGUAGAAUGAUGAGAACAAAUCAUUGUAUGCAUGAAUUGCUCCUUUUCUUAGAUAAACUUUGCAUAACGUUCUUGCUCCUAUUUUUUUUGAGUGUGAGUCACCACAAAAUAUGCAUUUGAAAACCCUUUGCUUCACAUUAGACCAAUUUCACUCACCAAGCCAAAUGAUUGAGAUCAUGUGCCCAUUUGAAAGAAUCCACCUUGUGUGUGUGCGUGUGAAUAAAUGUGAGAGUUGGUUGAAGGUAUUUGUUGCUUGAUUAGCAUUGCGACCUGUGUAAAGGAAUAAGAGCAUUGAUAGGCCUAGAGAAGCUAGAGUAUAACAAGAAGUGUUUGGCUAUGAGCUCCCACCUUCAAACCUCUCAUCCCUAUGAGUUCUUGAAAGUUCACUUAGGGACAAGUAAAGAACAAGUUUGGGGGAGUUGAUAUCUUGUAUAAUUACAUGAUUUUAGCCA
rnacentral:lncRNA from 1 species